UCUAUAACAAAACCUUGUUCAGAUCAAUACCACUGAGUUCGAAAUCCGAUGAGAAAAUAAAGCUGUUGAUCCACCGAGGAUAGCGAAACACAGCGUGUUGCAUGAUAUGAACAAUUUCUUCCACUGUGCGGAAUGAAUACCGUUUGAUAAGUUGUGAUUGGACAUACUGUCAAGCAAGGCCUAGGAGGCAGAGUAUCUAUUCAAUGAAGUAGUCCAAGACAGGUCGAUCCAUCACCGACCGAUCUCACUGGCUGAUUAAGUGGUGAAGGUGUGGGGCGAAAUUACAGCACUGCUCAGCAGAGACAGGCUGUGUCAACCACUGAGAGCAGGGCAGAGGACCAGACAAACCGUCAGACAAACACACCCACCCAGCCACCCACAGCAAACAGAGGAUCAAGAGUGAGAGGAGAGUCUAAGUAUAUGGACAUACACAGUGUGUGAUGGCUCACAGUUGGAAGCUAACAGUCACCAGAGACCGCCUGAAGUUGCUUUAAUGAUGGAGAUUUGCAACAACCCGCUUAGAAUCCUCGUUUCUUCUGAUGUAGUGUUGACAUAUUCUAUAUAUCCUAAGGGGUGAGAGGAUGAGACAUUGCCCCCUGCUGGUUCUUUGCCAACUUAGGAAUGGCAAAUGAUAAGAAAGCAUUGAGGCACAUACUUUAAAGUCGAGUGGCUUAAGAAACCUCAAAGCAAAAUCAUGUUUACCAUAUGCAUUACUGUUUAAAUACCAAUAUCAUUAAGGUAUUUGUAUUUGCCUUUCAUCCACAUGUGUUCACAUUCAAAGGCAAAAAAGCUGCACUGUAUGUGAAAUUAAAUUAAACAAAAGCUAUUGUAUUUCAUGUAGCCAGAACAAACAAAGUUCCUACAUAUACUGCACGUUUUUGAAGGCCAAAAGAUACUAGAAUUAGGCAAAGAAUAUGUCCACAAAAUCAAGUCUAAGCAAGGACAGUUUAUUUAAGCUAUGGUGUCUAUCCUUAGCUCUAACUAAUGGGUUUAGACCAAAGUUUUAAUAAAGGUCCUUUUCUUGUAAUUGAGUCUUGGGA